CCUACGGGAGGCAGCAGUGGGGAAUUGUUCGCAAUGGGCGCAAGCCUGACGACGCAAUGCCGCGUGGAGGAUGAAGGUCUUCGGAUUGUAAACUCCUGUUGCCAGGGACGAAUGGCUUCGACCUAAUACGUCGGAGUAUGACGGUACCUGGUGAGGAAGCCCCGGCUAACUCUGUGCCAGCAGCCGCGGUAAUACAGAGGGGGCAAGCGUUGUUCGGAAUUACUGGGCGUAAAGGGCGCGUAGGCGGCCCCUUAAGUCGAACGUGAAAUCCCCGGGCUCAACCCGGGAACUGCGUCCGAUACUGGGGGGCUUGAAUCCGGGAGAGGGAUGUGGAAUUCCAGGUGUAGCGGUGAAAUGCGUAGAUAUCUGGAGGAACACCGGUGGCGAAGGCGGCAUCCUGGACCGGUAUUGACGCUGAGGCGCGAAAGCCAGGGGAGCAA
rnacentral:rRNA from 1 species